rnacentral:rRNA from 1 species
UUCUUCUUUUUUGGAAGUAAGUCCUGCCCUAUGAACAUUUAAAUGGCCGCUGUAAAAAGGUGCUAAGGUAGCAUAAUCAAUUGUCUCUUAAUUGGGGUCUAGAAUAAAGGGAUUAAUAACUCAUGAGCUCUAAAUUAUAUUGCGGAAAAAUUUAAAAUUUAAAUAAAAAUGUUUAAAUUAGAAAAUUGGACGAGAAGACCCUAAGAUUUUUAAACUUAGACAACUGAAUUAGUUGAAGUUUUUAAUUGGGGAAAUUAAGUAAAUAAACUUUCUUCUUUUUAACACUUAAAGUGAAAAUAAGAAGUAUGAAAAAAAUAUUAAUCAUAAUUACCUUAGGGAUAACAGCGCAAUAAUGAAUAAGGGUACCUUUCUUUAAUUCAUGGUUGCGACCUCGAUGUUGAAUUAGGAGUAUUUAUGCAGAAGAGUGCAUAAAAAUUAGUCUGUUCGACUUUAACCCC